UACAGAGACUGCAAGCGUUAUUCGGAUUCACUGGGCGUAAAGGGUGCGCAGGCGGUUGGGUGUGUCAGAUGUGAAAUCCCGAGGCUUAACCUCGGAACUGCGUCUGAAACUACUCGACUAGAGUACUGGAGAGGGAAACGGAAUUCACGGUGUAGCAGUGAAAUGCGUAGAUAUCGAGAGGAACACCAGUGGCGAAGGCGAGUCCCUGGACACUUCCUGACACUGAGGCACGAAAGCUAGGGGAGCAAACAGG
rnacentral:rRNA from 1 species